GAUGAACGCUAGCUACAGGCUUAACACAUGCAAGUCGCGGGGCAGCAUGGGGGUUGCUUGCAAUCCCCGAUGGCGACCGGCGCACGGGUGAGUAACGCGUAUCCAACCUGCCCUUCACCACGGGAUAACCCGGCGAAAGUCGGACUAAUACCGUAUGUUGUCCAUUGACGGCAUCCGAUUUGGACGAAAGGUUUGGCGGUGAAGGAUGGGGAUGCGUCCGAUUAGCUGGACGGCGGGGUGACGGCCCACCGUGGCGACGAUCGGUAGGGGUUCUGAGAGGAAGGUCCCCCACACUGGAACUGAGACACGGUCCAGACUACUACGGGAGGCAGCAGUGAGGAAUAUUGGUCAAUGGGCGUAAGCCUGAACCAGCCAAGUAGCGUGCAGGAUGACGGCCCUAUGGGUUGUAAACUGCUUUUAUGCGGGGAUAAAGUGGCCCACGUGUGGGUUUUUGCAGGUACCGCAUGAAUAAGGACCGGCUAAUUCCGUG
rnacentral:rRNA from 1 species